GUAAAAGACAAGACUUACUAAUAGUCCCAUUUGUUUUCCAUUAAAAAUCUACUCAUUGUAUUCACAACAAUCCACAUGCCAGUAUGGGAGCCUGCUUGGACAAAGCCUUUGCUUUGUGUGUAUCAGAUGCGAAAUUUACUUAAAUUCAAGAUAAUUGCAAGUGCAUCUGCUACGCUUUGUCACUGGUCUAUAUGCACAUUUCCACAGUGUAUACAAAGAGCAAUUAUCCAACAACUAAAGAAAAAGAAACAGUCAUUUCUGCAAAUUGCAGCCAGCUCCUUUAUCAAGGAAUAAGUUUGUGCGGAAAAGAAUGCUACCCCAAAACACUUUUUUAAAAUAAAAUGUAUUCACCCACACCACAUACAUUAACUACACAGAACAAAAAAGGGAGCUUCUUCAACUGUUAAAUUACUAGGUCUGAAACAAGGAUAACUGCAAUUUCAAAUAAAAUCAUCUCACAAAACAUAAAGUUCCCCUCUGGAGGAAGAAAAAACAAAAAACACAACCGAUUUAAACCAAUUUGAUGCACUGCUUUAUGUUCUUAUUCUGGAUUCAUGACAAAAUAUUUCAAUAAUCGUCACCCUGUUUGUCAUUGGGUUGUAUUUUCCUAAUUUGAGAUAUAAGUGCACAGGCACAAGAACAUGAAGAAAAUUCAAAAUGGGAUUAUUUAAAAUUGGAC
rnacentral:lncRNA from 1 species